UGGGGAAUUUUGGACAAUGGGCGCAAGCCUGAUCCAGCCAUGCCGCGUGCAGGAUGAAGGCCUUCGGGUUGUAAACUGCCUUUGUACGGAACGAAAAGGUGCCUUCUAAUAAAGGGCGCUCAUGACGGUACCGUAAGAAUAAGCACCGGCUAACUACGUGCCAGCAGCCGCGGUAAUACGUAGGGUGCGAGCGUUAAUCGGAAUUACUGGGCGUAAAGCGUGCGCAGGCGGUUUUGUAAGACAGAGGUGAAAUCCCCGGGCUCAACCUGGGAACUGCCUUUGUGACUGCAAGGCUGGAGUGCGGCAGAGGGGGAUGGAAUUCCGCGUGUAGCAGUGAAAUGCGUAGAUAUGCGGAGGAACACCGAUGGCGAAGGCAAUCCCCUGGGCCUGCACUGACGCUCAUGCACGAAAGCGUGGGGAGCAAACA
rnacentral:rRNA from 1 species